GCUGUUUGAGACACCAGCCUUGUUUUUCUCAGGUCUUCAACCAGUUUCUCUCCUAUUUUUAAAUCAUUUCUACUCAGAUGUGAAUAGUCUGUGUCAUAAAGGCGAUCCAAGGUGUCUGUUUCAUCAUCAGGUGCCAUUCCAGUCCAGUGCCCAGAGGAACAUGGCUCUCCUUCCUGUUGCCCUGCCAAGUUCUGAGUCUCCAGGCAGGUGUACAACCAGCCAGCAGCUUCUCCUCCUGGGUCCACCAGCUUGUCCUGCUAUCAGAGCCCUUUCAGCCAUAGGUACCCCUGCCCCAAAGCCCUUCAGCACGGCUCGUUAAUGUGGUUCUCACCUUCUCCUGGUUCCCUGCACUUCAAAAUGAUCUCCCACUUUGAAUCAUCCUGUGGCAAUGUAACGUACUGGUAGCUGAAUGAAGUGAGUAAAACUGCCUGUUAAAGGACAAUCUGAAAAAUACUUAUUGCUGUACAUGACUGAGCAGACAGCUGAACUAAAAACCUAUGUGAAUAAGCUUCUCUCCCCUAUCCCUAUUACUAGAACAUCACAAAUACAAACAAUUUGGGACUGCAUCACCAUUUGGAUAAGUGAAAUGUUUCUUGUGGCAAUGCUUGCUAGUGGAGUGUGGAUUGUUCAAAUAUACUAUUGAGAUUUUCUUUUUCUUCUGUAAACAAGUAUUCUGACAAAAUUAAGAACAAAUAAAACAAUAAUUUCAAAGUUAUCCCUUAAACUUUUCUAAGCAAAGUAGUUCUGAAAUCGUGAUGUCAGCAGGAGGAACAGAACCAACUGCAAAUCAAUGUUAUGUUCACUUAUUGGGAUUAAUGAGGUCAGAGCAAUAAAGUACCAUUGUUUUGUCCCUGAAUUUAAUUCCUGAAUACUCCCUGCAUUUAUUUUUCUUGAUUUUGCAAAACUUGUUCUAAAUUGCAGCCCUUGGGGAUCAGUGAUCCAGAAGAGGUAUCC